UCGCAUUUGUUAUCAACAUUUGCUUUACAAAUUUCAUCCGCGUGUGCUAUUUCAGAGCAGUUUGUUUUGCGGCAUUUUAUUGCUCCCACGGAUCAGUUGCUUCCUGUUACCCUGGAUGAAGAAACACGGAAUUUGCCGAGUGAAUCAUUUUGCAGUUUACUGGGCUAAGCUUUCAUUCGAUCAUUCCAGUAAGUCUAUUUAUUGCUCAGUCAUAGUUUUGAGUUUGUUCUACUUAGCCAAUUCGAUACUUCGAACAGCGAAGCUGCAUCCAUAGUGAAGUCAGAGCGGACCUCUACAGGCUAAGUUUUCUUAUCUUUGUCUUGCUUGAAAGUUUUUCUCUUUAUAAAAUUGAUCUUUCAACUCUUUUGAUCUGCAUCUGCUCAGCUGUGUGUGUCCGGAAUCACGUUUGUUUGAAGAACUAUGAGCGUCGUCGUUUUCUACGUCUAUAACCAAGGUUACCCAUUUUACUGCGAAUCGACUAUAGCACAAACAAGGUCAUAAAAACACGAUUUAAAACGUCAAUUUUUGUUUGUAUUCAGUUGACUGCAUGCAAGGAAAAAACCAGUUUACAUAGUUGUUGUUAUUUAUCAAUGUAGUCGCCAAUACAAAUCAAGUUUUUUACCACAAAAUUUAGCAUUGUUACUCUUUCGAUAAGUAGACAUUGCUAUCAACCCGGAGCAUCACAAACUAAUUUCAAGUUAUUCGGAAUAGCCUGCUGAUACAGCUAGCCACUGAUGCAGUUUUGCAUUAUCCCAGAUAACUUAACCAGCUUCAUGUUACCGUGGCUGUUAUUGAAUUUCUCCUGUAUGACGGAUUGGAAUCAUUUUGUUUGCUAACAUUGACUGCUCGUGGUCAAUUGUGAUGAAAUGACAAUGAACCAGUUCACUGCCAUUACUCCCUGUGAUUAUCAUCUCUUACUACCCUCUUAGACUAGAACAGCUGUGCUGCUGUCAUCUCUCUCUCUCUCGUGCCAAGUAGUUAGUUAGUUCACUAUGUGAAACUGUGCUGUGCAGCUUGUCUCUUCUAUCCCGUUAGUUUUACUAAUUCCACCCUGCAAGGUAAAUUCUAUAAAUAAUCAUCAUUCAUUGAUUGACCUGUGGUGCAGUUGCUUUGCAUUCAUUAUUCAGCUUUAUCACUGAAUGUAUUUAUUGUAAUAACCUGAAAGUGCUGCUCAGUAAUCACCAUUUAGCUGCAAAUUUUUCCUCCUUAGAAUAUCUGUUGAAAAGCGUGCUAAAUAAGUCAAACCUAACAAACUCAACAGUUAUCUUAUCCAAGGAAAAAAAUAAGUCGACACCGAAGAAAUUUUGUAAAAAAUGGCCUUAGUUUUAGUUACGCACUCCUAUCCUCACUAAAUGGUUAAGUGUAUCGAAAAUCUUGCUGUCUAAAACAUGCCAAAUUUGGCAGCUGAAGGGUGUCUUCAGUCCAUUUACACAACCCGCCGUUUUUCAUAAAUGCAUGCUGGUUUAAAUACAUCAACUCGUCUUAGAAAUUUCAUGCGUUCUAUAAUUAGUGUCAACUCCACUGUGUACGCAGCUCAGGCUUAUUCGUUUUAUCCCAUUUGCGUGAAAUAAACGAGAGUCAAAGCACCUGUCCUUCGAAUAAUUCAUGAAAUUUAAGAUCUCAACCAUGACGUGUAUUUUGUCCAAUAUAAAAAAGAUUAACUUUUCCUUUCUGAAUGAAUUGGAUAAUCGUAAAUUGCCUACAAGAUUUAUGCUCGGCUUUUCACAUGAUUAGAUUUUUUUAAAUGUAGGGUUUGCUUGAAUUCCUACCCAUCUAGUAUUUGCUAGAGUUCCUUUCUGGCUGGUUUUAUUUUCGUAGACUGCCCUUGAUUUUUCCUGAAUAUUAACAAUGAGAACAAUAUUAACAAUGAGAAAUACAUUUUUUCUUUCUUUGAGUUGAAACAAUUAUAACGCGAAGGAGCCUCAAGCAGAUGACCUCAGAGUUCUGUGAUUUUGGCCUAUCAAUGAUCAUUUUUCAAUAGUAGUUUUAGAUGUGAUCACAUGACUUCACAUUCCUGUAGCCGGUAUCCUUGUUUGCAAAUUCGAGACAAUUUAUGGAAAAUACUUGCCCCCCCCCCCCCCGCCGUGCACUAAAUUUCACUUGUUCAUCCGAGUUUGUUCAGCUUUGCUUCUUGUGGUCUGCGAUUGAAGUGACGCGAAGUGAAGUGAAGUUAGUUGUUGGUUGUUGCGUUAUUUCCAAGUAGUGUUAGAGUAUGUUUGUGUGUGAAUGUGAAUGUUGGAAUGGAAGUAUAAUGGCGUCUCUCUUUCUCUCUUUUCCAUUCGCGUGUUUCCCAUUCUAGUUAAUCGCUUCUUAGUCACAUGCUCUCUCUCUCUCUCUCUUUCUCCAGUCUGUUGGUGCCAUACCAUUUCAUUAUUCAUAUCUUAUCUGUCUAUCUAUAUACAAAUAGUUCUAUUUCCCUCAACCUCCCCUACAUUCCACAUUCUAAUAUACAUACAGUGCGGUUGUAGAGCACAUACAGCCUGCAAAUUGCUCUUUCUUUCUUAAUCAUAAAUAUCUAUUUCCUCUACUUAGUGUUGUUGUCCUCUUUUGAACUAAUAAAGCGUUAUUUCUUUCUCGCCACAGUUGAUUCGAAAAAGGAAACCAAGUUUCCCUGAAGGAAAGAAGACUGAAUAAGCUCUCGAGGACGAAAUCAGACACGUUAUUUGACAUGUCGUAUUGGCUGAAGCUAUCUUCAUUUUUUUCAGCUUUUGCUUCAACUCUUUUUUUGUUGAUUUUUGAAUCUGUUGCUACAUUCAUGUGGAGGACACGUUUACUGUUUUUCUCCCAUUUCAAAAUGUAUUCUCAGCUCAAUUCUAUAGUAAUUCACGAGUAGUUGCUGCUGUGUCCCUGUGUGUGUUUGUGUGUGUGAAAUAGAGAGAGAGAAAGAGUCUGUGUUAUCUCUAUCGGGAUCAUUUUCCUUGUUCAAUAGUGGUCACUUUUUCAACUUUCUUUUUUUCUUCCUUUCCUUUCAUGACGACAGCGUGUUUGCUGCUCGUGCUGCAUGUAUUGUAUUGUAUACUUUUCCAUUCUAUUACAUGGACUGAAUCAAACUUACAGUAGAAAUAGCUGCGUAUGUCAGUCAAUCCUGCUUCACAUUGAAACUGAACUUUUUGCUCAUUGCCACUUGUUUGUCCACCAAUAAGCGAGAUGGCAUGUUUUCUGAAGAUCCAUCCAGUCACGAUUCUAGGUUGUGUUUUUCUCUUACAACCAAACCACACACAAUGACUUAACUGUUCUGUUUUCAUCUUUCUUCCUAACUGCACUCGUAGAGUGAGGCACUAAUCUCCUCUCCUCGUGACAGAUAAAUACCAAAUGAGCGAUCAAUUUUUAAACCAAUCAUUGUCCUUUAAACAGUCCAAAAUUGACCGAUCCCAUUUUCCCACAUAGUUUUUCCACAUUUUCCUAGGCUGAACAAUAAUCGCUAAACAAUAGUCUUUUUGAAGCAUUCUGGCACGAGAGAGGCAUUCCCCGCGAUACUACAAGAGGCUUUUGACCCAAAUGACAUGCUUUAAUGGCACUCUUGUACUUUUUUAUCGAAUCAAAACUGUUCAUUUUAGUAGAAUACGGGUGAAUUUUUUUAAGUUAAGCUACUGAGUUACUCGCUAGAGUUUUAAUCUUUACAGCCCCCCCCCCCCCCCGCGUCUUUACUCCAAAUGUAUUAAGGGAACAUGGCCAUGUCAUCAAAGCACAAUGACAUUACGAAGGUACUACGAAACAUGAGUUGUAUGGGCGGGUAAGUAGUAUUAGUAGUGGGAGGGGAACGUAAUUCUUUGUCUGCUGUCUCUGGCUCAUUUUGAUCGUAAGAAUUAAUCAGACUGAUAUUAUGGACACCCACGUGAUCUGAUGUGAUGUGAUCUACUGGGGGGACCCAUGGGCGGGUUGAACAGAUAACCCGCCCCUUGUCCCCACUCAUCUAUCGCCAAUGAGCAUGCAGUAUCUAUCUUUCGCUUCGCUUCUUACUUUCUGUCCCUCUCUUCAUAACUCCAUCUCUAUAAAUGCCCAAAUAUCUGAGGGCCAUUUUAGCUAGUUGCAUUCAUUUUGUUUCGGAGAUGCGAAAAGUUGUUACUGUGAGGCGAACAGAGAUUUGAUGUCCAAGGUAGAAAGCAGUGAACUAGGAAGAGGUAUUUUGUAAGGGUUCUAAUUGCAAACACUUAUCAAAUUUGCUGAAAAGCUACUAUACCAUGCUGUUUCUUAGAGGUUAUUUUUAAUUAGUAGUUGUGGGUAUCUGCUCGGUAUUAUUGUUUUGUUAUGAUAGAUUAAAACCAUUUCUUUUCUGUUUCCAAGUUUUCCAACCUUGUAAAAUGUGGCAGCUUGAAGCGCCCAUGUUCCAGUUGGUAACUUGCCUUUCAUUUACUUCAUCCUCUUUUCCUUUUUUGUUCUCCUAUUUUCUUCUUAAUUAUACCUAAAAUGAUGCCAAUGAUGUGGCCGAGGCAAAAAAUGAUUAGAAAUCGAAAUCUGUUUCUUGCCUCCACAACCGCCAUCUGCACAGAAAAAAAAACCAAAAACACUAUAAAACGAAGAGCUACAUUGCCUGUCUUCACAAAAAGCUAAAAACAAGUAGAUACAAAUUAGCUUUACUCUUUGACAAAAAUUAUAUUUUUGCUUACCAGAAGAAAAGCUAUUUUCAUAUUUUUUAGCAGCAAAAGCUAUUUUCGCUACAUUAAACGUUUCAUGUGUUUUGCUAAAAAAAAUAAGCGGAAAGGAUGCAGUUUGAAAAAAAAUCUUAACAAAUACGACAUGCUUUUGUUCUAGAUGUAACAACGGUUGCACAGUCUCUGUUAUUGAGUGUAAAUUGAUGUUGAACAUCAGUGUCUGAUGUGUUUGCGAAUUGAAAUAUCAUGUAAAGAAAUCAAUGCUAACAAAUAACCGGACAGCAAAUAACCCCGCCUCCUGAAAACAGGUGACUCAAGCACAACCCUGAAAGGUGAAAGCCAAACAAUUAUUCCACCAGUUGUGGUAAAACACGCUAAAUAUUUUUUCGCUCCACAGAGAAACAAGAGAAAAGUGAAUAUUGGGGAGAAAAAGGAGCAAAAACAGAUGUAAUCUUACUUGCCUCAAUUGAAGAACUGCUUUUUAAAAUGUUGUAAAAACAGAAGCUGGACGGUGGGUUGGGUUUUGCAGCAGGGUUGGGUUUGAAUCUAUGCACCUGAGGAGACAUCUGGCUCGAAAUACCAAACUAACCAUCCCCCUCACAGUUAUUUUAACCCCUCUUGUUCACUCAGCAGCUAACCUGUUUGCUCUUUGCAAUUUAGAUCCAAUUUAGUCCACCUACAUUUGAUGAAAAUGUCCUCGUAUCCUUUAACUAAUUUUCAAUAUCAGUCGAACUUGCGCAACGUGAAAAUGAAUAAAACUAUGAUGAUUUUUUGAAUGAUUGAUUUAUAUGUUUUUUGUUGAGAUAGACUCGUGGUUAAUUUUUGACAUGACCUGGUGGUGGCAUUGGAAACGAAAAAGAAACAGCUGCUGCUGCAGGAAAGAAAAUAGAAUAAAUAUUUAUGAGCCAGGUGGUCAUUGCUAUUCUUUUCUUUUCACCACUUCAAGUUAAUCAUCGAACCGUAUCCAACCUCUAUCUACGCUCUAUUUUUACUGUGAAACAUUAAAAGGACAUUUUCACAAUUGAAUGAAAAGGAGCAGGUUUGUUAUUUAGACAAUAAAGUAGAGAGAAGCAUUUAGAGUUAGAUAGUCUUCUCGUUUUCUAUUUCUACACAUACGACCAAAUCAUACUUGAGCUAUGAUUGUAUGUUGAGCUCAGCUGCAAUUUAGACUACACAGGGCCGCCCAAAAGCCUCUCCUAAAGUGAGAGGAGAGAAGGAGAAAGACUCCUACUCCUGCUACUAUCUCAACUCAAUCAAUACUACCUUAACAAUAACAACAGACUGCUAUCAUCUUAUCAUGUUAGAUGUAGAAAAGAACAACUAUACUAGUUCUGCUUGCUAAUCUGCUUCAAAAGCCACCUUUUAAAGAUAAAGGAUGAAACAAAACUUAAUUAGCUUCAAAACAUUGCUGGAUGUUUUGCCUGGUUGAUGUUGAUUCGAUUAACUGCCAAUCAUUCUGAUCAUAACCCGACUGUUUUCAUCGUUGAGCCAUUAGAGUGUAUUGUGUCUUAUUCGUUCGAGUAGUUUAUUUAUUCCCGCUAUCACGCUUUCGGUUACUAGUGAUACAUCUCGGGUGGAUACAGAACAGAACCCGCAGUUUAAUCUAAUCUAAGCUAGACCCCACUUCAUUUCAUUUCCGCCGCUCCUCUUUUCACAUCCCAAAACACCACUAAACACAUACUAACUUUUUCGGGUGAACCGACAUUUUUUGACUUUAUAAUGGUUUAUAAAUUUAUGAUUAACAAUAUUGACCCGAUAAAAAAAUGAAGCAGAAAGGAAUAAAAAACAGGUGUUUUCUUAGUGUUUCAUGAAUUUUUUGUCCAUGUCAUCAUUCGAAUCACCUUGUGUGAUUUGUUGUUGUUGAUGUUUUGUACUCAUUGUUUGGUUAUUUGUUAGUACACUUCUACUUCCUAUUAAUGCGUUACUACCUGUCAAUCGACGGAUCAUUGUUGACUGUUUGUUGUUUGUUUGGCUGUGGAAAACAAGGAUUCUCUGAAAUGAAAGAGAAGAUUAGAAAAAAGAAGAAGAAAUUGAUUUUUAUCUUUGUGACUGGCACUAUUUUUGAAAUAUUGUCUUCGUGUGUUGUGUUGUCGCCUUAGAAUUAAAGAAUUCAGUUCAACUUACCACGCUACUAUUGUAUAGCACGCCGCCCUUCAAUUCGUUAAGAAUUUAUCCCUCGCUAAUCAAUGCAGUUGAAGUAACAAGGGAGUUGAAUUGUAUUAACUUGAAUGGCACUGGUUGAAACAAUCGCCUAAAACAAAGGAUCACUGUCGAAAGAUAUCUGUGCCAACAAUUUUUUUUACCCUAACUUACCAGACCCUUUAUCACCAGGUACACCAUAAAGUCCCAAGUAUUUAAUAUUUCUUCAGAAGUUGACUUAUUAUUCAGUCAAUUAGUCACAUUGGUAGUGAAAUAAAUAUUGGCUGUAAGUUUUGCGAAGGAAACAGUUUGUUGUGUGGCAAGUACAAGAAUGUGGUGACUGGGUUGAAGCAUUCAUGGAUGUGAUGAGUAUUCUGGGAUGGCCCUCUUCCUCUUCUGUGUCCCUCAGCUGCAAGUGAAAGUAAUCAGGUGAGGUCACUCUGCAUUGCAUACAUCAUACUCAUCAGUAAAUGUGAUCGUUAGUCGUGUACGUGCUGUAAUACGCGUAACCGAACAGGUGUGCAGUUGUGUAUUGGUGUCGUGUCUAAAGAAGCCUGGCUCGCUUCAUUAACCAACUGCAACUUGGUAUGGCUAGUUUAACUUGCUUGUAAGUGAGCGAAUACAAUGUGUCUUCUCUCUCUCCUCCUCCUCAGUCUCUGAUUGAUCAUUAGAUGUACAACACAACACUACUGUGAACAUUCUAUUCAAUUCAGUCAGCCAAAUUCGCAGUAACCAGACUACUGCGACAUGUAGUAUCUUCAUAACCUCCUCAUUCUCUCUCUAUCUAUCUUUUUUGUCUCCUUGUCCCCAGAUACAGUAGGGAUUCUUUCUCUCCCUGUCUUAAUAAUCCCAACUCCUACUUGGCUUCAACAGAUGUCUGUCUCUUCUCAGCCUACGUGUGAUGUGUUUAGUUUCUAACUGUUCAGCGCCAAUCAUCAAUUGUCAUAAUUCCCGCCUGUUUUUGUUGGUGAUCAUAUGUGCAAUAGUGGGCUCAAUUGGAAAAGUUCCCAACCACUCUUUAGACAUCUCACAAAAACCGGUCAGCAAGCCAAUUGAAAUGUUCAUAUCAAAGCACAAAAGCCGUCAUUUGAAUACCAGAUUGGAUUGCUUUUGUGUUAAUUUUGUGUUUGUUAUUAUUCAAAAUGUUUACUCAAUUUACCUCACCGGCUUCAGUUUUGUAGUUAUGUGAUUAGGAUGGCAAGUGCAGUGGUAGUAGUCGUCACCAUUCUGUAUUUCAUUGUUACCCUCUUCUUUCUCUUUUCGGCCAAGGAGUCUGUGGCUCUGGUGUAAUACUUCAGCUCAAUUGGUUGUUUGCCAUUAUAUAUGUUCAGAGUGCAUCAGUCAUGAAAAUGAAUCUGCUCCGGUGUGAAUAAACGAAACGAUCACAAUCAGUCAAACAAACCGAACAGCAAAAGUGAUCGGUAGGCUCAUUGUACGUUUCCACGCCAAUAAACGGAGUUGCAAUUAGUCAGUCGCUAAAUAUCAUUUCUGUUUUGCGUGUAGACUGGGGUUGCGUUGUCUUGUCCUAACUGUUCAUCAAACAUAAUUAAAAACUGUCUUUUUAACCAGCUUUUCCGAGAAGAAAAAACACGAUAUUUUUACCAGUGAAUAUUUCCGGCAGAGUUUCGAUGCAGCUUUCAGUAGAAAAAGGAGCCGAAAGUAAGUUGUGAAUUCAUGUAGUCAGUUUUGGCGAAGCCUUACCGCGUCAGUUGAAUGUUUUAGGUAGUUUAUCUAUCCACAUAUGUUUUUAAUCUUCUCAAAAAAUGGCGCACAACUAUCAGUUUUCGAUGAAUGCAAUCCAGUAAAAAAAGAAAAGACAUUGAUUUAGUUAGUUACUGAGCUUCACCAAACUGUAAGGACAAUCUUUGUGGACAUGUUGCAAAUGCAGCUCCGCUCAGCUGUGGUGAAGGUUGUUCUGACUCUAACUUGUGGUUGACUGGCUGUGAUGUGACGUUGUAGCUUUGCCAACAUUGAUACCACUUUUCAUCUUUUUGCAAGCAUAUUAAACAGAGCAGCUUGAGGUAUCUGAACUUUUCUAUUCAUUCUUUUCCCAUAGCCAUCAACUGGGCCCAGUUUCUUCCAUGCUGUUCGUAUCAUUAUAGUGUUUUUGACAAAUUAACAAAACAAGCUCUCGAUAAACCCAGAAAAGUUGAUAACUUACAUUGAUUUAAAAUUGAAACUAACUGUAAGGUCCGAGCAGAUUGUCACUUUUGUUUAAAAAAUAACAAUAGUUUGAGCUCGAAAACCUUUGUUUGUUUGAAACUUUAGUUUUCCGUUGGAGUUUUGUAAUCUGUGUCUUAGUCAAUAGUUGAUUUGUUUUCCCAUUUUGGAGAAUGUCUGAAAACUAAACUUUUUCAUAAACUGCACAAUUGCCAUGCGUUGCCGUAAAAUCAAAUUCUCAGAGCCCAAUUUGAAAGAAGCAUAUGAAAUGAAAGCAAACGAAUAUCUUCAACUACCCCCCCCCCCCCCCCUUCCCUCAUAUGGUACCUAGUACAGAAUCACAGAAUCCCCACCCCUAUAAAGAACUAUAUCAAUGCCCCUCUUAAAGAAUCUGUGGAUUUUGUACCUAGUAACUAUUUACCCCUUUUUUCGUGCAAUUGUAGGGAUUAAUCAAAGAGGUAAGUCAGUAAAAGCUCUAAUUUGUAUAAGUUUUAUGAACAAAAAACAGUUUUUUGGCUCUUCAGUUAGAAUUUCUGUUUGUUCUCUGAUAAUUAUGAGUAAGUAUGCGCGGUUCUGUCGUACCAAUCACGCUAUAUCAUUAGAGCUACAUGUGUAAAUUUCAUCUUGUUUCCAUAUGCUAGUAAAUUGGGCUUGGCUGGUAUAGUGUGUUUCUGAAUGGAGCAGAAACAACAUGUUCAUAAGGAUAAUUCUCUAUUUCUGCCAGAAAAAAUUGAAUAAUUCGCUAACUCUGCCAGAAAAAAAACACAGAAUAAUUCGCUGUUUCAGAAAAAAAAACCGAACAUGUUCAUUACAAUAAUUCUGCAAUUCUGCCAGACAAAAAAAAUAUGCUAAUUCAGAAAAAACGUGUUCAAUAAGAUAUUUCACUAAUUCUGACAAUUGUUUAUAAUGUUAUGAUGCAACUGCUCAAUGUGUUCAUGUGCAUGUUUCGUUUAUAGGUUUUGGUGACUUCUAAACGACUCAAAAUUUGAUAGUUGAAAAUCACAUGUCAACCGACAAAAAAAACAUAACUACUCUUUUGAAAUGAAUCACGAGAAAGGAUCAAUUUGGCCUAACCAACGUUUGCUUGGCUGCUUUCUCACUAAAUGUUUUAAGGAUAGUUGUAGUCAAUAAUAGGGGAUGGACAUUCUAUUAAGCUCACUCCCGGAUAUCAUGGUGUGAAAAAAAGAUAUGUCAGUGUUUUUCCUCAUGGCGACAUUCCGGAGCUCGCUUCUCCUUUGUCGCUCCUGUACAUGCUUAGAAUUAGCUGUGGCAUAAAACAAUUAUAAGCGUUUUUUAAACAACAAACAGUGAAACGGUUAUUGCCCCUAUCUUUCCUUUUAUCCGCAAGAAUAUGUUUUCAUCACACUUAUCUCUCAUAUAGCAGCACGCUUUUCAACACGACUGUAUUUGGUUGUUUCUCUCUGCUCUUCUUGUCAAGUGUCAUUUUGUUUCGUGUCAUUUUGUCCCGUGUCAUGAAGUGGUGAAGAGCCUUCCUUCGCUUCUUGGCCGAGUAAAACUGAAACUGAUUAAACAACUGCUAUGUAGUUUCUCGCCUCCUUUUUCAUUGUUUUUCUCUCUGCUAUCUGUCUUUAUAUGUGCAGCGACUGAACUUAACUGGAUCUACCUAACACAACCAAUCAAUAUUUAUUAUCUUUUACACUGUUUUCCGAAAAAGAACCCAUUUUGCUCUAAACUGUAAACAAGUAUCUGUCUAUGAGCAGCGGCAGACAUCCUAUUUCGACUCGGACUGAUAGGUAGAUUCCGCACUCAAUAUCAACUCAUUCGCACAAGCUCCUAAAAGAUCCAUUGCAGCUCACUUUAUCAACAGACCUAGAAAUCAUGUUUGUCAGCCUAUUUCUGAUCUGACCUCCUACCCCCCCCCCCCCAAUGCAAUGAAUUCAUAUACUAUAAUUUGAUGAAAUUAUACGUAUCAGAACACGAAUGGAGCUGUAAAUGUUAUUUUGCUAAUGUACUAAUGUAUGUAGUGUGAGAAUUUAUUUUGAUUGUUGUAAAAAAGAGAAUACGUCCAGCCAUUGACACCAACAAAGAGUUCUACUUAAUCUGUAACUCUGCCAUAUCAUCAUUUAGUGGAUCGAAUGAGACGAACACUCUUCAAAUUCGGAACUGCCAAAUACCUUCUACUACCGACGAUACCCACAAACGUCCACAACCCUGCUUAUGAGGUCCUAAAAUCGGAUUAGAUGGCGGCUGAUUUUUUCUCUAGCAAGUUGUCAAAUCCAGCAACAACAUCGCUCUUAGAAAUUCGACGAUCUAUUUGAAGCUGACACUGAGUUAACUCGAAACUAAAACUUUGAAUCUAGUUUAUCUUGGUAAAAUGUAUGUUUUUGUACUUAAGCUUUCAACAAGUUUUGUAAAUUUGGAAAUUUUGAACGAGCUGUGCUUUAUAUUUAUUAUCUUUAAUUGAUCUUGUGUCAAUGAGAUACAUUCAUACCUGUUAUUAGAUUAGUGUUUCUUUUUAUGGAGAUGAUACAUGAUUUCAUUUUUAGUCAAUGUAUGCCUGAACUCGAUGCUAAAGUUGUUAGUUUAAUUUAUUUCUUCUAUUCUG